rfam:Paenirhodobacter enshiensis strain DW2-9 contig24_scaffold11, whole genome shotgun sequence.
AGCAUGGGGAUUGCGAGCUCCCCACGAGGCGCCAGCCGAAGAUCGCGUUCCUGUUCAACCCCGGCGACGGAGGAACGCACAUG